CCUACGGGUGGCUGCAGUGGGGAAUAUUGGACAAUGGGGGGAACCCUGAUCCAGCCAUGCCGCGUGUGUGAAGAAGGCCCUCGGGUUGUAAAGCACUUUCAGUGAGGAAGAACGCCUGGUGGUUAAUACCCAUCAGGAAAGACAUCACUCACAGAAGAAGCACCGGCUAACUCCGUGCCAGCAGCCGCGGUAAUACGGAGGGUGCGAGCGUUAAUCGGAAUUACUGGGCGUAAAGCGCGCGUAGGUGGCUUGAUAAGCCGGUUGUGAAAGCCCCGGGCUCAACCUGGGAACGGCAUCCGGAACUGUGAAGCUAGAGUGCAGGAGAGGAAGGUAGAAUUCCCGGUGUAGCGGUGAAAUGCGUAGAGAUCGGGAGGAAUCCCAGUGGCGAAGGCGGCCUUCUGGACUGACACUGACACUGAGGUGCGAAAGCGUGGGUAGCAAACAGGAUUAGAUACCCUUGUAGUC
rnacentral:rRNA from 1 species